UGUUGCCCAGUCUGACCUGCAGUGCUGAAAGUGGGAUGAGCCAGCGAAAUUUAAAAUGGUCCUGAUCUCCUCCAUGAGAGUGUGCAGAACGUGGAACAUUCUGAGACACAAUGGGAAUCAAACCAGAAUCACCGCUUUCUUGAACACUUAAGAGAGGGAAGAGAGAGAUUUUCUGUGAGCUUGGGAGCCCUUUAGACUCAGGGAAUUGGCCAGAUCAGCACCCACAGUCUUUCACUUCUAUGAAGCCCUGCUGUUGUGACGGAUGGGGUAUUUGAAAGUGACAUUGUCUGGAUGGAAGCAUAUGUUGCUCUAAAAUUUCUAUAUACUGUUUAGCAUUGAUAUUUCGUGAUCGAUACUUGUGUGAUGAGAUUGAUUCUUAAGUUUCAGUUUAUCUUCGGUACAACCCCCACCCCCUGUGUUUUAUCAUCAUCAUCAUAAAUAUAAUUAUUAAAGAAAA